rnacentral:misc_RNA from 1 species
GUAAUUAUUAUAAAUAAUUCAGACGCUGAUUGAAGAUUUAAAAAGGUUAUAGUUUUGUCCAGCCGGCGAGCAAGCCCGCCGAGGAAACAAUUGGUACGCAAAAAACAAGGGUAUAAACAAGUAGCUAGGCUACUGAAUGUAAUGAUCCUUCCGCAGGUUCACCUACGGAAA